ensembl:lncRNA
CAUUUUCCACAAGUUUUAUUUGCAGUUAACAUGAGUUGUUCAAGUAGAUAGAUGGAUGGACAGACAGAUAUUUGCUCAACAACACAUAUUUCAGCUCUUUUGGUGAAUAAGUUAUUGCAAUUAUUGACCUGCAAGUGAAAAAUGUUGUCUGAAUUUUUAUAAACUGAGUAUUCAUAGGAGGUGAACAUUUUAGAACAUUUUAGAUGUUUGUAGGGUGAAUACAAAUGCAAACAUUAACAUCCCAGACUGAUUUCUACCAGAAAUCUACUGCACAAAAUGAGAGAUUUGAAGUGACAGCCCUUUCCCACUUCACAAGAGAAGAAAAAUAAUGAUUUAAUUAUAAUAUUUAAAUCGCUCAUAGUUAAUGCUUUGAUCAGAUUUUCUUUCAGAAUUUUAAAUUAGCUUGUACAUGUAGUACAUGGACAGCACAUUGUUGGUCACCCACGCCAUAUCCCCGUUUUUGCUGCAGUUCUGUCAUAUAUCCUUCUGGGAAUUUAUUGCUGAUGAAGCUGCUGAAUACCUCCAAGUUAUUGUAAUCAUUCAUGGUAGGUUUAAAUCUGCCAGAGAAAAUGGAAAUUUAAGGCAAGUACUAAGCAAGGAUGUCUUAUAGAAUUUGCCCUGUGUUCCUAAGUUUAUUUUCUACCACAGAUAGGCUUGUCAUGGCUGUGUGUGGUACAGUAUGAUGGCAUUGCUUUCCUGAAAUUAUUUUGGAGGAGAGAAUGGAAUACGUAGGGUAUUUAUUGAAAGAUAAGGUUGAAUAUUUUUAUCCUGAGGCUCCCCCUGGAGUUGUUUCAUUCUUCUUGUAGGGCGUGAUUUUGGCAGCAAGGAGCACUGUGUUUCAGACUUUGUUAAUGCCUUUGAUGUGAGAAAUCAAACUCUUCUAAGGGGAUCUAAGAAUUCUGGGAAAUGACACUUUUUGCCCCAAAGACAAUGAUGUGCAUUGAGAAACUGGAGCCAAGAGUAAAGAUGGAAGCUGGAAUUUGACAUGAAGACAUAUGAUUUCAGAUUCUGGUUUGGAAAGAAUGAAGUUAGAGCCCUUUCUUUUAGGUUAACUGAAAUGAAUUAGAAGCUUGAUGCUGAUUUUAAACCUCUCCAUUGCUAUAGUCUUAGUGGACACAGCUACAGUUUACAUACAUGUAGUACUGAGCUUGUCCUGUAGUCAGAAUUACUUUGCUCUUUUUUUUUUUUUUUCCCAAUAGAUAUAUGGGUCAAGAACAAUCCAAUGAGACCAGGAACAUGAUUUAGUGAUGGGAGUUGGUGGGUCAUGCUGAUGGUUGGACUUGGUGAUCUUGAAGGUCUUUUCUAGCCUAGAUGAUUCUAUGAUUCCAAUUAAGUCCAGUGUCAUGAGCCCCAAGUUUUCCUAGCAGUCCUGACUAAAUGAUGGGGAGAAUGAGGCCUUCUGAUGUGGUCUGUGUUGUUCUGCCUUUGUAAUACCUAAAAGCCAUAAACAGCAUCAUUUUUCAAAUCCCCCUGUAAACAAAUCUCCUCCCAUAUUGCCCACAAAUGUGUAGGAUAUCUGCACCUGUCAACAGCUAGGCUGCUGAAGUGCCAAGAUUACUGUCUGGACCAACAUCAUUCCUUCCUGAUGUGUUAUUUCUUGACAUAUUUGAGGACAGGAACUCUCUUUGCACUCCAUGUUAGCCCAGUUCCUUGCAAAACAGCCAUCUGGUAUGGUGCUCCUUGGUGUUACAGCUAUGCAGAUGGGAAGUAAAGUCGGGUUAGUGCUCUGCAUAUUUAUCUCAUCACUGUAAAAUGAUUUAAUAUAAGGAAAAAAUGAGAUUGCCUUGAAGGCAUGGCUAGCUGGCUGCACAGAGGCGAGAAAAGUCAGCCUUCCACCUGCCAGGCUCUUCUUUGGUAUCCUGGGUGCUCAUACAGGAGUUUCUGAAGAUAGGGGGAUCUCAGCUUGCAAGACCAUGUGGAGGACUUACCCCAAAUCUCUGGAAAAGGAUGGGAAGCUGCUAGGUAAUAAGCUUGUGUGGAACUGGAACAGGUUCCC